rnacentral:tRNA from 1 species
GCCGGUGUAACUCAGUGGUAGAGUAAUUCUCUCGUAAAGAAUAAGUCGCUGGUUCCACCGAAGGCG